rnacentral:rRNA from 1 species
AGGACGAAUGCUGGCGGCGUGCUUAACACAUGCAAGUCGAACGGUGAAGGAGAGCUUGCUCUCCGGAUCAGUGGCGAACGGGUGAGUAACACGUGGGCAACCUGCCCCUCGCUCCGGGAUAAACCUCGGGAAACCGAUGCUAAUACCGGAUACGACCCGGUGCGACAUCGCACUGGGUGGAAAGAAUUUCGGCGAGGGAUGGGCCCGCGGCCUAUCAGUUUGUUGGUGAGGUAACGGCUCACCAAGACUACGACGGGUAGCCGGCCUGAGAGGGCGACCGGCCACACUGGGACUGAGACACGGCCCAGACUCCUACGGGAGGCAGCAGUGGGGAAUAUUGCACAAUGGGCGAAAGCCUGAUGCAGCGACGCCGCGUGAGGGAUGAAGGCCUUCGGGUUGUAAACCUCUUUCAGCAGGGACGAAGCGAAAAGUGACGGUACCUGCAGAAGAAGCACCGGCUAACACGUGCCAGCAGCCGCGGUAA